GUAAUUUUAGGUUAAGUUGAAAUUCUUUUCAUAACAUCGCUCGAAGUAUCACAAAGGGUUGCGAGGUGUUUACAUUGUCAAUUUUAUUUAGGAAUUUUCACUUCAACUGCAUAUUUGAGCUGUUUCUUAAAAUGUGACGAUAUAGACUGUUUGCAAACUGCUCAAUGCAGCACCAGUGUUUGACGAAAACG